GCAUUCGUUCGUUUAUCAACUGACUUGCUGGUCGGUGUAUUAUUAUUUGGUUUGUCACCGUUUCAGUUGCCUAUGAGACGUCGUUGCGGUAAUGUUUGUAGGCGGAUUAUUUUAAUCGGUAGUGAAAUUAAAUUUACUUGAAUUUUCGCUCACGGUAUUGGCUCUAAAUAUUCGACGCGUGCUUUUUUAACAUGUUUUGGCUGGCGCGGAUUAUAAACGUGUAAUAAAAUAACACAAAACAAAGCGCGUGAAAUGAAAAAAAGUGCUAAUAAUUUUGACGGGAAAGUGUUUUGAAAUUUUAAGGGUUUUUACCAAAAUAUUAACACGCGAAGUGUAUUUAAAGAAAUAUAUUUAUAUGUGCACAUUUGUUUGUGUAUUUGUGCGAGUCAAAGUGAAGUGUGAAAAUAAAGUGAAGUAAGGUGAAUAGCUGGCGAAUAACUGGCAUGCAAACAACGGCUAAGCCAUACGCAAAAUGAAAUAAAACAAAAGGAAUAAAAGUAAAACGUCAAAACGUCAGCGUAGUGUUUAUUUUUCGUUUUAUUAGGACGAGUUGAAGUGUGGCCUACACGAAUGCGAAAAUAUCAAACUAAAAUUGAAGAUUGAAUUUAAUAAUUCUACUGCUGUUGCUAAGAAAAAUUGCUGCAAAUAUCGCCUGCAAAUCUGCUUGUCAAUUGCUCCGGUUGCAUGAGGUCAAAAAGCUGAUACUUUUCUGAGAAACUCGGAAUCAAAAAUUCCAAAUCAUAAUUAAACGAAUAUGAAAAAUUAAUUGAUAAUUACAUAGAAAAGAAGGGAAAUACCCUAAAUACAAUACAAAUAAUUUAAUUUCUCAGUAAAUAAAUAAAACAAAAAAAUUAAGAGUAACUCUUCGCUGGAAUUAGUGAAAUUUUAAAGCACUUUAAAGCAAUACUGUGAGCUGAUUCACAUCAAUAGGUCAUCUCUCCUACAAUUACUUUUUUCGUGGUUGGUGA